rnacentral:misc_RNA from 1 species
UCUCCGUUGGUGAACCAGCGGAGGGAUCAUUACAGAGUUGCGAAACUCCCUAAACCAUUUGUGAACCUACCCCCAAAACAGUUGCUUCGGCGGCGCCCUAGCCGGCCCGCCGGAGACCGCCAAACGCUUUGUUUUUAUCGUGUAUCUCUGAGGGGCGAAAGCCCGAAAACAAAAUAAAUCAAAACUUUCAACAACGGAUCUCUUGGCUCUG